rnacentral:rRNA from 1 species
GUGGGGAAUAUUGGGCAAUGGGCGAAAGCCUGACCCAGCAACGCCGCGUGAAGGAAGAAGGCUUUCGGGUUGUAAACUUCUUUUGUCAGGGACGAAAAAAAUGACGGUACCUGACGAAUAAGCCACGGCUAACUACGUGCCAGCAGCCGCGGUAAUACGUAGGUGGCAAGCGUUAUCCGGAUUUACUGGGUGUAAAGGGCGUGUAGGCGGGAAAGCAAGUCAGAUGUGAAAACUAUGGGCUCAACCCAUAGCCUGCAUUUGAAACUGUUUUUCUUGAGUACUGGAGAGGCAGAUGGAAUUCCUAGUGUAGCGGUGAAAUGCGUAGAUAUUAGGAGGAACACCAGUGGCGAAGGCGAUCUGCUGGACAGCAACUGACGCUGAGGCGCGAAAGCGUGGGGAGCAAACAGGAUUAGAAACCCGAGUAGUCC